rnacentral:rRNA from 1 species
UACGUAGGCAGCAAGCGUUGUUCGGAGUUACUGGGCGUAAAGGGUGCGUAGGCGGUCCUAUAAGUAUGGUGUGAAAUCUCCCGGCUUAACUGGGAGGGUGCGCUAUAGACUGUGGGACUAGAGUGUGGGAGAGGAAAGUGGAAUUCCUGGUGUAGCGGUGAAAUGCGUAGAUAUCAGGAGGAGCACCGGCGGUGUAAACGGCUUUCUGGACCAUAACUGACGCUGAGGCACGAAAGCGUGGGUAGCAAACAGG